rnacentral:rRNA from 1 species
AACGAACGCUGGCGGCAGGCUUAACACAUGCAAGUCGAGCGCCCCGCAAGGGGAGCGGCAGACGGGUGAGUAACGCGUGGGAAUCUACCCAUCUCUACGGAAUAACGCAUGGAAACGUGUGCUAAUACCGUAUACGUCCUUCGGGAGACAGAUUUAUCGGAGAUGGAUGAGCCCGCGUUGGAUUAGCUAGUUGGUGGGGUAAAGGCCUACCAAGGCGACGAUCCAUAGCGGGUCUGAGAGGAUGAUCAGCCACACUGGGACUGAGACACGGCCCAGACACCUACGGGAGGCAGCAGUGGGGAAUAUUGGACAAUGGGCGCAAGCCUGAUCCAGCCAUGCCGCGUGAGUGAUGAAGGCCCUAGGGUUGUAAAGCUCUUUCACCGGUGAAGAUAAUGACGGUAACCGGAGAAGAAGCCCCGGCUAACUUCGUGCCAGCAGCCGCGGUAACAC